UACGAAGGGGGCUAGCGUUGCUCGGAAUCACUGGGCGUAAAGCGCACGUAGGCGGAUCUUUAAGUCAGGGGUGAAAUCCCAAGGCUCAACCUUGGAACUGCCUUUGAUACUGGGGAUCUCGAGUCCGGAAGAGGUUGGUGGAACUGCGAGUGUAGAGGUGAAAUUCGUAGAUAUUCGCAAGAACACCAGUGGCGAAGGCGGCCAACUGGUCCGGUACUGACGCUGAGGUGGCGAAAGCGUGGGGAGCAACAGG
rnacentral:rRNA from 1 species